rnacentral:rRNA from 1 species
CGCUAGCGACAGGCUUAACACAUGCAAGUCGAGGGGCAGCACAGGUAGCAAUACCGGGUGGCGACCGGCGCACGGGUGAGUAACGCGUAUGCAACUUGCCUAUCAGAGGGGGAUAACCCGGCGAAAGUCGGACUAAUACCGCAUGAAGCAGGGGCCCCGCAUGGGGAUAUUUGCUAAAGAUUCAUCGCUGAUAGAUAGGCAUGCGUUCCAUUAGGCAGUUGGCGGGGUAACGGCCCACCAAACCGACGAUGGAUAGGGGUUCUGAGAGGAAGGUCCCCCACAUUGGUACUGAGACACGGACCAAACUCCUACGGGAGGCAGCAGUGAGGAAUAUUGGUCAAUGGCCGAGAGGCUGAACCAGCCAAGUCGCGUGAGGGAUGAAGGUUCUAUGGAUCGUAAACCUCUUUUAUAAGGGAAUAAAGUGCGGGACGUGUCCCGUUUUGUAUGUACCUUAUGAAUAAGGAUCGGCUAACUCCGUGCCAGCAGCCGCGGUAAUACGGAGGAUCCGAGCGUUAUCCGGAUUUAUUGGGUUUAAAGGGUGCGUAGGCGGCCUUUUAAGUCAGCGGUGAAAGUCUGUGGCUCAACCAUAGAAUUGCCGUUGAAACUGGGGGGCUUGAGUAUGUUUGAGGCAGGCGGAAUGCGUGGUGUAGCGGUGAAAUGCAUAGAUAUCACGCAGAACCCCGAUUGCGAAGGCAGCCUGCCAAGCCAUUACUGACGCUGAUGCACGAAAGCGUGGGGAUCAAACAGGAUUAGAUACCCUGGUAGUCCACGCAGUAAACGAUGAUCACUAGCUGUUUGCGAUACACUGUAAGCGGCACAGCGAAAGCGUUAAGUGAUCCACCUGGGGAGUACGCCGGCAACGGUGAAACUCAAAGGAAUUGACGGGGGCCCGCACAAGCGGAGGAACAUGUGGUUUAAUUCGAUGAUACGCGAGGAACCUUACCCGGGUUUGAACGCAUUCGGACCGAGGUGGAAACACCUUUUCUAGCAAUAGCCGUUUGCGAGGUGCUGCAUGGUUGUCGUCAGCUCGUGCCGUGAGGUGUCGGCUUAAGUGCCAUAACGAGCGCAACCCUUGCCACUAGUUACUAACAGGUAAAGCUGAGGACUCUGGUGGGACUGCCAGCGUAAGCUGCGAGGAAGGCGGGGAUGACGUCAAAUCAGCACGGCCCUUACAUCCGGGGCGACACACGUGUUACAAUGGCGUGGACAAAGGGAGGCCACCUGGCGACAGGGAGCGAAUCCCCAAACCACGUCUCAGUUCGGAUCGGAGUCUGCAACCCGACUCCGUGAAGCUGGAUUCGCUAGUAAUCGCGCAUCAGCCAUGGCGCGGUGAAUACGUUCCCGGGCCUUGUACACACCGCCCGUCAAGCCAUGGGAGCCGGGGGUACCUGAAGUCCGUAACCGAAAGGAUCGGCCUAGGGUAAAACUGGUGACUGGGGCUA